rnacentral:sRNA from 1 species
AGCCUAAACCACGCAGAAAUGUGUGGCAUGGCUCAAAAGACCCAAUGACGAUACUGAACCGCACGUUCAGCCACUCGUCAUUGGGCUGUAUCCCGAAAGGGAUAUAGGGUCGCAAGGCCU